AUUGAACGCUGGCGGCAUGCUUUACACACGCAAGUCGAACGGCAGCGCGGGCUUCGGCCUGGCGGCGAGUGGCGAACGGGUGAGUAAUGCAUCGGAACGUGCCCAGUAGUGGGGGAUAGCCCGGCGAAAGCCGGAUUAAUACCGCAUACGACCUGAGGGUGAAAGCGGGGGACCGAAAGGCCUCGCGCUAUUGGAGCGGCCGAUGUCGGAUUAGCUAGUUGGUGGGGUAAAGGCUUACCAAGGCGACGAUCCGUAGCUGGUCUGAGAGGACGACCAGCCACACUGGGACUGAGACACGGCCCAGACUCCUACGGGAGGCAGCAGUGGGGAAUUUUGGACAAUGGGGGCAACCCUGAUCCAGCCAUGCCGCGUGCGGGAAGAAGGCCUUCGGGUUGUAAACCGCUUUUGUUCGGGAAGAAAACCUCUGGGCUAAUACCCCGGGGGGAUGACGGUACCGGAAGAAUAAGCACCGGCUAACUACGUG
rnacentral:rRNA from 1 species